AUUGAACGCUGGCGGCAGGCCUAACACAUGCAAGUCGAGCGGUAGCACAGAGAGCUUGCUCUCGGGUGACGAGCGGCGGACGGGUGAGUAAUGUCUGGGAAACUGCCUGAUGGAGGGGGAUAACUACAGGAAACGGUAGCUAAUACCGCAUAAUGUCGCAAGACCAAAGUGGGGGACCUUCGGGCCUCAUGCCAUCAGAUGUGCCCAGAUGGGAUUAGCUAGUAGGUGGGGUAACGGCUCACCUAGGCGACGAUCCCUAGCUGGUCUGAGAGGAUGCCCAGCCACACUGGAACUGAGACACGGUCCAGACUCGUACGGGAGGCAGCAGUGGGGAAUAUUGCACAAUGGGCGCAAGCCGGAUGCAGCCAUGCCGCGUGUAUGAAGAAGGCCUUCGGGUUGUAAAGUACUUUCAGCGGGGAGGAAGGCGAUAAGGUUAAUAACCUUGUCGAUUGACGUUACCCGCAGAAGAAGCACCGGCUAACUCCGUGCCAGCCGCCGCAGUAA
rnacentral:rRNA from 1 species